rnacentral:rRNA from 1 species
AGAGUUUGAUCAUGGCUCAGGACGAACGCUGGCGGCGUGCUUAACACAUGCAAGUCGAGCGAGGCCCUCCCUUCGGGGAGGUGUCCUAGCGGCGAACGGGUGAGUAACACGUGGGCAACCUGCCCUCAGCUCUGGGAUAACCCCGGGAAACCGGGGCUAAUACCGGAUACGACCUUCACGGGCAUCCGCGAAGGUGGAAAGGGUUUCCGGCUGAGGAUGGGCCCGCGGCCUAUCAGCUAGUUGGUGGGGUGAUGGCCCACCAAGGCGACGACGGGUAGCCGGCCUGAGAGGGCGACCGGCCACACUGGGACUGAGACACGGCCCAGACUCCUACGGGAGGCAGCAGUGGGGAAUAUUGCGCAAUGGGCGAAAGCCUGACGCAGCGACGCCGCGUGAGGGACGAAGGCCUUCGGGUUGUAAACCUCUUUCAGCAGGGACGAAGCGAGAGUGACGGUACCUGCAGAAGAAGCACCGGCCAACUACGUGCCAGCAGCCGCGGUAAUACGUAGGGUGCAAGCGUUGUCCGGAAUUAUUGGGCGUAAAGAGCUCGUAGGCGGUCUGUUGCGUCGGCUGUGAAAACCCGGGGCUCAACCCCGGGCCUGCAGCCGAUACGGGCAGACUAGAGUUCGGCAGGGGAGACUGGAAUUCCUGGUGUAGCGGUGAAAUGCGCGAUAUCAGGAGGAACACCGGUGGCGAAGGCGGGUUNUGGGCCGAUACUGACGCUGAGGAGCGAAAGCGUGGGGAGCGAACAGGAUUAGAUACCCUAGUAGUCC